rnacentral:rRNA from 1 species
UAAAUUUAGAGUUUGAUCCUGGCUCAGGACGAACGCUGGCGGCGUGCUUAACACAUGCAAGUCGAGCGAUGAAACUUCCUUCGGGAAGUGGAUUAGCGGCGGACGGGUGAGUAACACGUGGGUAACCUGCCUCAAAGUGGGGGAUAGCCUUCCGAAAGGAAGAUUAAUACCGCAUAAUAUAAGAGAAUCGCAUGAUUUUCUUAUCAAAGAUUUAUUGCUUUGAGAUGGACCCGCGGCGCAUUAGCUAGUUGGUAAGGUAACGGCUUACCAAGGCAACGAUGCGUAGCCGACCUGAGAGGGUGAUCGGCCACAUUGGAACUGAGACACGGUCCAGACUCCUACGGGAGGCAGCAGUGGGGAAUAUUGCGCAAUGGGGGAAACCCUGACGCAGCAACGCCGCGUGGGUGAUGAAGGUCUUCGGAUUGUAAAGCCCUGUUUUCUAGGACGAUAAUGACGGUACUAGAGGAGGAAGCCACGGCUAACUACGUGCCAGCAGCCGCGGUAAUACGUAGGUGGCGAGCGUUGUCCGGAUUUACUGGGCGUAAAGGGUGCGUAGGCGGAUGUUUAAGUGGGAUGUGAAAUCCCCGGGCUUAACCUGGGGGCUGCAUUCCAAACUGGAUAUCUAGAGUGCAGGAGAGGAAAGCGGAAUUCCUAGUGUAGCGGUGAAAUGCGUAGAGAUUAGGAAGAACACCAGUGGCGAAGGCGGCUUUCUGGACUGUAACUGACGCUGAGGCACGAAAGCGUGGGUAGCAAACAGGAUUAGAUACCCUGGUAGUCCACGCCGUAAACGAUGGAUACUAGGUGUAGGGGGUAUCAACUCCCCCUGUGCCGCAGUUAACACAAUAAGUAUCCCGCCUGGGGAGUACGGUCGCAAGAUUAAAACUCAAAGGAAUUGACGGGGGCCCGCACAAGCAGCGGAGCAUGUGGUUUAAUUCGAAGCAACGCGAAGAACCUUACCUGGACUUGACAUCCCUUGCAUAGCCUAGAGAUAGGUGAAGCCCUUCGGGGCAAGGAGACAGGUGGUGCAUGGUUGUCGUCAGCUCGUGUCGUGAGAUGUUAGGUUAAGUCCUGCAACGAGCGCAACCCUUGUUAUUAGUUGCUACCAUUAAGUUGAGCACUCUAAUGAGACUGCCUGGGUAACCAGGAGGAAGGUGGGGAUGACGUCAAAUCAUCAUGCCCCUUAUGUCCAGGGCUACACACGUGCUACAAUGGUAGGUACAAUAAGACGCAAGACCGUGAGGUGGAGCAAAACUUAUAAAACCUAUCUCAGUUCGGAUUGUAGGCUGCAACUCGCCUACAUGAAGCUGGAGUUGCUAGUAAUCGCGAAUCAGAAUGUCGCGGUGAAUACGUUCCCGGGCCUUGUACACACCGCCCGUCACACCAUGAGAGCUGGUAACACCCGAAGUCCGUGAGGUAACCGUAAGGAGCCAGCGGCCGAAGGUGGGAUUAGUGAUUGGGGUGAAGUCGUAACAAGGUAGCCGUAGGAGAACCUGCGGCUGGAUCACCUCCUUU